UGUAUAUUGUCCUUGUUGGGGUGUAUAUCCUCACAAUUGUUCUGUAACACUGCAGCACUCCAGAACCACCGCCAAAAACUGAACAAAGCACACCCACGCUUCCACCAGCUCCAUUUAAAGUCCCCAGAAGAUGCUGUUGCACCGAUGAUGAUAGCACGGACAGCAUCGUACAUUCCUAAACAAGGUCCGAUGCCAUCAUUCAGCCUCGACUUGACUGAUUCAAGCCAAGAAGAAGCAACAACGCAAGAGAGUGCAGCAAUGCAAGAGGGGGACAGAGGGCGAAAACUCCUGAAACGCCAAAACUAAUAGAACAGUUAGGGAAGCUGGUGGGAAAAAUUGCAGGCAGUGGGGUGAAAACAGAAGGUAAAACUCCACCUAUUCAUAAGCAAAGUGGUGAAGAAAGUUUUGAAAAGUUUGAAACUCCUGCGAGGACAAAUGAAAUGAGUGCUGAAAUGAAAGAGAAAUGCUACAUCUGGGCCACACAUGUGAAAACAUACACAGAUGGAAAUACUAAUGAGUAUGACACCGUGUGCACACUCAAUGCCCAAGAUAAACACAUUAUCUCAAAAAUUCACUUCGCAUCUCUCCAAGCUGAUACACAUAUAGAAGCUGAGAUUGUCUUUGCCAUAUACCUCAUCCUUAACCAGCAAAACAUUAAAAUGUUUCAAGAAGAAAUAUACUGUUUCUCCCCUGAUAUUGUG